rnacentral:rRNA from 1 species
UACGUAGGCAGCAAGCGUUGUUCGGAGUUACUGGGCGUAAAGGGUGUGUAGGCGGUUGGAUAAGUGUGGUGUGAAAUCUCCCGGCUUAACUGGGAGGGUGCGCUACAAACUGUCUGACUAGAGUGGUGGGAUGGGUAAGUGGAAUUCCUGGUGUAGUGGUGAAAUACGUAGAUAUCAGGUGGAAUACCGGUGGCGAAAGGCGGCCAAAUUGG